rnacentral:rRNA from 1 species
GACGAACGCUGGCGGCGUGCCUAAUACAUGCAAGUUGAGCGAUGAAGAUUGGUGCUUGCACCAAUUUGAAGAGCAGCGAACGGGUGAGUAACGCGUGGGGAAUCUGCCUUUGAGCGGGGGACAACAUUGGGAAACGAAUGCUAAUACCGCAUAACAACUUUAAACAUAAGUUUUAAGUUUGAAAGAUGCAAUUGCAUCACUCAAAGAUGAUCCCGCGUUGUAUUAGCUAGUUGGUGAGGUAAAGGCUCACCAAGGCGAUGAUACAUAGCCGACCUGAGAGGGUGAUCGGCCACAUUGGGACUGAGACACGGCCCAAACUCCUACGGGAGGCAGCAGUAGGGAAUCUUCGGCCAUGGACGAAAGUCUGACCGAGCAACGCCGCGUGAGUGAAGAAGGUUUUCGGAUCGUAAAACUCUGUUGGUAGAGAAGAACGUUGGUGAGAGUGGAAAGCUCAUCAAGUGACGGUAACUACCCAGAAAGCGACGGCUAACUACGUG